AACGAACGCUGGCGGCAGGCCUAACACAUGCAAGUCGAACGAGAAGCCACCUUCGGGUGGUGGACAGUGGCAGACGGGUGAGUAACGCGUGGGAACGUGCCUUUCGGUUCGGGAUAACCCAGGGAAACUUGGGCUAAUACCGGAUACGCCCUUCGGGGGAAAGAUUCAUUGCCGAAAGAUCGGCCCGCGUCGGAUUAGCUUGUUGGUGGGGUAAGAGCCUACCAAGGCGACGAUCCGUAGCUGGUCUGAGAGGAUGACCAGCCACACUGGGACUGAGACACGGCCCAGACUCCUACGGGAGGCAGCAGUGGGGAAUAUUGGACAAUGGGCGAAAGCCUGAUCCAGCCAUGCCGCGUGGGUGAAGAAGGCCUUAGGGUUGUAAACCCCUUUCAGCGGGGAAGAUAAUGACGGUACCCGCAGAAGA
rnacentral:rRNA from 2 species